AUUGAACGCUGGCGGCAGGCCUAACACAUGCAAGUCGAGCGGAUGAGAAGAGCUUGCUCUUCGAUUCAGCGGCGGACGGGUGAGUAAUGCCUAGGAAUCUGCCUGGUAGUGGGGGACAACGUUUCGAAAGGAACGCUAAUACCGCAUACGUCCUACGGGAGAAAGCAGGGGACCUUCGGGCCUUGCGCUAUCAGAUGAGCCUAGGUCGGAUUAGCUAGUUGGUGAGGUAAUGGCUCACCAAGGCGACGA
rnacentral:rRNA from 1 species